GCCUGGGUGGCGGAAUUGGUAGACGCAAGGGACUUAAAAUCCCUCGGAGGCAACUCUGUGCCGGUUCGAGUCCGGCUCCGGGCACCA
rnacentral:tRNA from 1 species